CAAAUUAGUUUUCGUAGCUCAUUUAUCAGGUUUGGUGGAAUGAGUUCCAUUUAUUCAUUUGGUCUGCGUCUUUAUAGUUGAUUUCCGUGAAUAGCCACGGCAUUGUUUUUUAAAAUCCCUGGCGUCUACAGUUUUGAAGUUAACUGUAUUGUUGGAAUUUCGCGUAUAAGGUAUCUGAUGAUACGGUUUUAACUAUUUGCUCAUUUUUGGAGUCGUGGAAGUUGAAAAACUGAUGGAUGUUAAAGGCUUCCAGGAAGGAUGAAAACCCUAAAGUUGUCCUGUAGGUUUAUUCUCGCUUUUCAAGCGGUACGAAGACUAACAAUGUUCGAAUGCUUCAGAUUUACAAGCAAUGAAGGUGCCUAGUGGUAUUGAUCAAGAAUGUUAAUUCAAGGUAAUUGCAGUGUGCUUGGUAUAACGAUGUGGAUAUUGUAGCUGCAUCUUUAGCAGGUGACUUCUUGUAUUUUAAUUCGAAAGCUGUGUAAAAUGGUCAUAUCUGGCAAUUUUCACUAAUAAAAUUGUAAGUUAAA